rnacentral:misc_RNA from 1 species
AAGAGUUGCAAAACUCCCUAAACCAUUGUGAACCUACCUUCAACCGUUGCUUCGGCGGGUUGGCACCGGGUCUCCCGGCGCCCCCGGCCCCCUCGCGGGGCGGCCCGCCGGAGGUACCUAACUCUUGAACAUUGUAUGGCCUCUCUGAGUCUUCUGUACUGAAUAAGUCA